CUUUAUCUUUCUUUCAAUUCUCAAUUGUAUUAGUUUCUUGUACGCUUGUGGCUAGUAGUAGUAGUAGUUAUUUUUUUGUUUUUUUUCCUAUGUGUGUUUUAUAAACAUAUUUGCCCGUCGAAUUAUCCUAUUAUAUUAUAUAAAGAGAAUUCUCAAGUUGUGAUAGUUACAAGUCUAUUUAUAAAAUUUAUGACUUGUGUCAUUGUGUUUAUUAAUUAAGCAGAGUUAUUGGCCCAUUUUUUGGACAAACAAAACAUUGCUCUCGUUAAGUUUGUUACAACUGUCAAGUUUUGGUAGGCCAUCAAUUUUAUGAGAGCCUAUAAUUUGAAUCUCAUAUGGUUGAGGUAAUGCAUGCCCAUCGUAUAGCUGGUGAAAUUCGAGCCAUGCUUAAACAUAUAAUUUGAGCUAAUUAACUAAUAUAGUUCUAGAAAACAAAAAAGUAUUGUGCCAAGGGCUCUGUAUUCUGAAAUAACAAUAGAAGAUUAUGUUGGCCUUUUCAUGGCAUGGGAUUGCAUGAAGAGAAUCUAGGGACCUUUCUAGCUCCUUUCUAUUUUAUAAUUUCACCUGGACUAUAUAUAUAUAUUGAAUUCUCUUUCGUGAUAACUGGUUGUCACAUACAUUAUUCUAAUAAUAGAUAAUAAUCUAUUCGUGACAACCAGUUGUCACAUACACUAUUCUUGAUCCUCAUAAUAAAAUGUUUAAAUUAAAAUCAUUUUAGUCUUUGCCGUUAGACCUUAUGAACCUUUUAUUAUGACGAGGUUGCCACAUAUGAAACCUAUAUGUGUGUGAGAGAGAGAUCCUCAAUCUGAAACCUCAGUUGGAGUAAGAUUUACCUUUAUUUUUUUUAUUAGAAAGGAAUAAAAGUGUCAAAGGGGUCUGUAUUUGAAUAUAUAAAUAUUAAAACUAUAGUAGAAUAUAAUAUGCAGGGUGAAUUAUGCCAAUUCCUCAGAUUCUGUAGAAAUUGAACAAGUUGAUACAAGGUAAACAUCAUUCUCGAGAGAAACUUUCAACGUAUCAACACUAUUUUAGUUAGUGCAUAAUCUUAUGUGCACUGAUUGUGGACAGCUAAGAGAAAUUACAAGUAAUACCUCCAUUAUAAAUUUAAAAAUUUUAUGCAGACAUUAUAAUUUGACAUGCAUGUUUUAUAAUUUUAUUUAUUUGUAUUUUGAUCUCCAAUGAGGGAUAAAAAUAUAAAUAAGUGAAAUUAUAAAACACUCGUGUACAAUUAUCAUGUCCGUAUAGACGAACUCUUACAAAUUAUAGAAACUGAUAUUUUCACAUAUUAAAAUGAUAUUUUCACACGAGUCUCUUACAUGAAGGUGAUACUACUCACUAUUCAUGCGAGAGGGAUCAUGUGAAAAUAUCAAUUUUUUUAUUUGGAAAUAUUAGUUCCCAGAUUAUAAAAUCAUCAUUGGCGUUAUAAAAUUAAUUUGAGACAUCUUCAAAUUUAAAAUUGAG
rnacentral:lncRNA from 1 species